UCUGGCUCAGGAUGAACGCUAGCUACAGGCUUAACACAUGCAAGUCGAGGGGCAGCAUGAUCAAAGCUUGCUUGAUGAUGGCGACCGGCGCACGGGUGAGUAACGCGUAUCCAACCUUCCCCUUAGUAGGGCAUAGCCCGGCGAAAGUCGGAUUAAUACCCUAUGUUAUUCGUCGAGGACAUCUGAAGUGAAUCAAAGAUUUAUCGCUAAGGGAUGGGGAUGCGUCUGAUUAGGUUGUUGGCGGGGUAACGGCCCACCAAGCCAUCGAUCAGUAGGGGUUCUGAGAGGAAGGUCCCCCACAUUGGUACUGAGACACGGUCCAAACUCCUACGGGAGGCAGCAGUGAGGAAUAUUGGUCAAUGGGCGAGAGCCUGAACCAGCCAAGUAGCCGUGCAGGAUGACGGCCCUAUGGGUUGUAAACUGCUUUUAUACGGGGAUAAAGUGAGGUAUGCAUACCUUUUUGUAGGUACCGUAUGAAUAAGGACCGGCUAAUUCCGUGCCAGCCGCGGC
rnacentral:rRNA from 1 species